rnacentral:rRNA from 1 species
CAGCCGCCGCGGGAAUACGUAGGUGGCAAGCGUUGUCCGGAAUUAUUGGGCGUAAAGCGCGCGCAGGUGGUUUAAUAAGUCUGAUGUGAAAGCCCACGGCUCAACCGUGGAGGGUCAUUGGAAACUGUUAAACUUGAGUGCAGGAGAGAAAAGUGGAAUUCCUAGUGUAGCGGUGAAAUGCGUAGAGAUUAGGAGGAACACCAGUGGCGAAGGCGGCUUUUUGGCCUGUAACUGACACUGAGGCGCGAAAGCGUGGGGAGCAAACAGGAUUAGAGACCCCUGUAGUCCCUGUCUCUUAUAA